AUGGAGACCAUCUGGGCUGUGGGUUUGUGGUCUUUCCCGUUGGUAUGUAACCACUGCUCUUUCUUGUCUCCCAGACUGUACCACCUGAUGGCCUGGGGGGUGCCCCUGGUGAUGUCCUCCCUGCCCCUGUUCAGUGGAUACUACGGCCCAGCAGGAGCCUGGUGCUGGAUCACAGACGACCACGUAGCUUGGAGAUUUGGGAUAUGGUACGUCCCACUCUUCACCCUCAUCUUCCUCAUGAUCUGCUGCUACGCCAGAAUAAUCUACGUAGCCAAUGAGAGGAUGCAGUCGUGGUUUGGCACCUUCAACCCAGAGAGGGAGAGGAGAAAGGUGUCUUUGGCUGAGGAGAUAAAGCCGUUGAAGUGGUAUCCAUCCGUUUAUCUCCUGGUGUCUCUGUUCCCCCUCAUCAACAGGCUCCAUAAUGCGUUCUACCCCCAGGAUCCAGUGUUCUCUCUUACUUUGCUCCAUGUCCUUUCAGCCCCUCUCCAUGGCUUGGCCAACGCAUUCGUCUUUGGCCUGGACAGAGACACCUGGAGCCAGCUCAGUCCUACAGGCAUACAGUUGGCGCUGCAGUCUCGGCUGUGUGACAGGACGCGUAUCAGGGAGUACCAUGCUGGGGCGGUGCACUACACGCAGGCUGAGCUGGGAGACUUCAGUGACGAGGAUGAUGAUGACACCAACGUCCUUUUCUACUCCCCUGACAUGACCCUGAAAGACAGAGGACCCUAA
rnacentral:lncRNA from 8 species